UACAGAGGUCUCAAGCGUUGUUCGGAUUCAUUGGGCGUAAAGGGUGCGUAGGCGGCGCGGUAAGUCGGGGUGUGAAAUCUCGGGGCUUAACUCCGAAACUGCAUUCGAUACUACCGUGCUUGAGGACUGGAGAGGAGACUGGAAAUUUACGGUGUAGCGGUGAAAUGCGUAGAUAUCGUAAGGAAGACCAGUGGCGAAGGCGGGUCUCU
rnacentral:rRNA from 1 species